CUUUAAAAUGCUGAGAAUAUUUUCCAACAAUUUUGUGAUCUCCAUAAAUAUGAAGGGGGAAGGUGAAAAUAUGCUUUAAGAGCACUAAUUUAUAUGGUGUAGUGAAAGUUCAUGUAAUUUUUUCAAAAUCGAAUAUGCGGAAAGGAGCUGUUUGGAAUGAAGAUUUACAAGAAGAAGUAAUUCCAUCUAAUUGAAUUAGUGAUAAAAUUGUUUGUCGGCUUCCAGUUACCAAAGCAUUGACUGCACUAAAAUGCAGAGAAGAAUUGGCUUAAGUUUAUACAAAUAAAAACUAAGUUCUCUUCAGAGUAUUUUCGAAAAGUU